UCGAGGGGCAGCGGGGGACGCGCUUGCGCGUCCCGCCGGCGACCGGCGCACGGGUGAGUAACACGUAUGCAACCUGCCCCCGCCAGGGGUACAACCCUCCGAAAGGGGGGCUGAUACCGCGUACAUCCCCUGGGGGCAUCCCCGGGGGAGGAGAGCCCUUUUGGGCGGGCGGGGAUGGGCAUGCGGCGCAUUAGGAAGACGGCGGUGUGACGGACCACCGUUCCGACGAUGCGUAGGGGUUCUGAGAGGAAGGCCCCCCACACUGGUACUGAGACACGGACCAGACUCCUACGGGAGGCAGCAGUGAGGAAUAUUGGUCAAUGGCCGGAAGGCUGAACCAGCCAAGCCGCGUGAGGGAGGAAGGCGCAGAGCGUCGCAGACCUCUUUUGCCGGGGGACAAAAGGCCGGACUCGUCCGGUCCUGAGGGUACCCGGAGAAAAAGCAUCGGCUAACUCCGUGCCAGCAGCCGCGGUAAUACGGAGGAUGCGAGCGUUAUCCGGAUUCAUUGGGUUUAAAGGGUGCGCAGGCGGGCCUUUAAGCCGGCGGUGAAAUCGCGGGGCUCAACCCCGCCGAGCCGUCGGAACUGGGGGCCUUGAGUGCGGCGGAGGCAUGCGGAAUGCGCGGUGUAGCGGUGAAAUGCAUAGAUAUCGCGCAGAACCCCGAUUGCGAAGGCAGCGUGCCGUGCCGCCACUGACGCUGAGGCACGAAAGCGCGGGGAUCGAACAGGAUUAGAUACCCUGGUAGUCCGCGCCGUAAACGAUGGAUGCUGGGUGUCCGGGGCGUUCAGGCCCUGGGUGCCGGAGCGAAAGCGGUAAGCAUCCCACCUGGGGAGUACGC
rnacentral:rRNA from 1 species